rnacentral:lncRNA from 1 species
UGCAACUUGUGCUUUAUAAGAUGAUCACAUACCAAUGAUUAAUUUGCAUCAUCCAGUAGUCAUAACUCUCUCAUAUACGUUGUAGUUACUAUAUUCCUCAAUCAUAACUAGCCUAAGAAUGAACUAGUUAUCCCUGGUAGUACCCUUUCAAUAACAAAUUGAAAUUGAUUAUAUCUUCCAUCAAGCCACGAAAGGUGGAUUCCUGAUUUACUAACCAGCAUUGUAUCACAAUGUUUAGUACCAUGUUUCAUUCUGCCACUAGGCAAUAAUUCCAAAUUCACAUUAAUAUUGUCUCUACAGCCUUACUGUUUUUCUUUACACAAAUCAUACAGUAAAUCAUAACCAUUUCAUCAUUGGGGAAUUCUCCUCACGUACCCCAACACUAUUUCCAAUCAAUUCUGUUCGAGUCCAAUUUGGAGGUUUACUCCUGCCAAAAUAACUCAUGACAUCAUUAUUUGAUCCUGUCAAUUCAGAUAAACUUCCUUUGAUACUGUUCAGAGAGUGUGAUGCUCAAAGUAUUCAUUGUCCCAAAUCCAAUUUAGGCAAUAGAGGGGGAUCAACUUAUACUUCACCUGCGUAUUCUCUAUUGCCAUCACUCUACAUAUUUUUCCAUAAAUAGGGAAGAUAUCUGAACAAAGCCUUUCGUUAACCUACAAUUAAAGCAUCAUUAUUUGCUUCCCCAAUAUACGGGGUUUAUCCUGAUAUGAUCAUCCGUCAAUUUAAUAAUCCCCAAAGACUAACCCCAUGCGGUUUAUUCUACAAAGCUUAGUUCCAAUAUACAUAAACCAAAAUCAUAAGAGAAAGAAACAAGUAGCUGGGCAAUUUCUUUCUCAAUAUUCCAAAAUGCUUAGUUCCAUUAGAGGAGUCUCAUCUCAAUCCUCUUAAUUAAUUGCUUAAUCAAUCAUUAUCUGCCUUGCAGGAUCCACAGAACAACAGCUGGACAAAUCCCUCAUAACAUUUUAUAUCAUAGAAGACUACAACCUCCUCAGAUUGCUACUCAAUCUAUAACAUGCACCCAAAAUUAAAGGCUAAUUAAAAGAUCAUCAGAUCUUGACUUAAUCUAACUACUUAAUCGUGUUUCAAAUUGAAAUCACGAUAUUCGACACAUAGUCGAAUAACUCAUCUAAUUUUACCACAAGUGAAAUUACUUAACCAAAAUGAAGCACUAAACCACAAUUUGUGACUUGUUCAGAAAUACCACGACCACUACUCAAGAAUUACCCUUCAAAUGCAUUGUAUAAUGUUCAAAUUUCUGAGGCGAGUCAAUUUAGUUCGCACAAAUCAUAGUACAAAGUACCUCUCAACUAAGUUUUAAUCAAUACCAUUCUAUCAUAGGUAAGGCCAAUCCAUUUGUUGGCAUAUAUUAAGCUUGCAUGCCUGCAGGUCGACUCUAGAGGAUCCCCGGGUACCGAGCUCGAAUUCGCCCUAUAGUGAGUCGUAUUACAAUUCACUGGCCGUNCACAUUAGCAGUUUAGCAGUUCGAACACGUCGGAGCCCUUCUGAAUGUCCGUUUGCGCUCAAAUUUGACAGUCAGGCUCGGUUUUCCUUACUAAGAAAGAAUAUAUCUUAAGUUUUCAGUUUCGACCACAUUUGGUCACCGAAAGCUCUACCGAACUGUAAUCUCUAGCAGAUAGCAGUCGGAUUUUAUUUUUCACUUUCUGGGUGUCAGAAUGACAUGAAACAUUAAAUCUAGCCUCAUAAAAAUAAUUCUGACAUAUUCUCCAGUUUUCAUAAUUUUCUGACACUGUGCAUUUUUGCUAAAAUAUCAGCUCCAUUUCUCACAGAAAAUUCUAAGUCUUCUGUUUUCGUACCGAUUUCAACACAAGUCAUUUCUGACUUAUAUUUUACUUCUCUAAAUCCAAUAAAAAUAGUAUCUCACACUAUUUUUUAUUUAUUUUUACUUUUAUACCAAAAUUCGGUAUGUUACACUUAUAGUGGAGGAUUGGAUUGAACUUAGUAUCCUUAAAGUUGAGGAUUGAUCAUACUCACUCAUAAGUCUUGGCUCGGAGGGUGGUAGCUUCACCUCGAGCGAUGAGCUUCGGAGUAAUCAUCACUAGGUUGUAGCAAGUAUCUCCCUAGAGGACGGUCCCGUCGGGUUGUAGCGAGUAUCUCCCCGAUAUUAAGGAUUUGGGUUGGUGAUUGGUUGGUUGAGGCGAAACAUACAGGUUACCCAAAAGUACCGAGAAUUGGAACACUUGAUGGUUGAGGUGAAACCUACGGGUUAGCCAAAAGUACCGAAAAUCAGAAAGUAACCUUGCAUUCAUCAUGAGCAUUCUAUUUAAGCAUAAUCAUUGAUUAUAUUGUUCAGCCAUAUUAGCUACAUUUGUUAGUUGGUUACUAUCUAUCUAUUUUUCAAUUAUGCCUGAUUUAGACCUAGUGGGAAAGUCGGCGAUAUCGGCGACCGAACCCACUGGAAACUUUGUUGUAGUUCUCACCCCCCUUUUUCCACGGAGCCGGGACCGAGUGAGCUGGCCGACGAUCGCGGUAAAGGUAUCGCGCCAUAGACAGAGACUACACGACCGGGUUCUAUUUUGUGUAGUUGCACACCCUUUUAUAUAUAUCAUCUUUUGUAUUUUGAUGAUUAGAGUUAUAUGAAUGAUGCAAAUGUAUUAAAGAUGUUAAAUAUAAAGGCCUACUUUGGGGAAUAUGUGAUGUAAAAGAAUGAUUAAAAGUAAAUGUAACUUGUGGCUGAAUGUAUGUAUGUGGUUAAAAGCUAAUCAUUGUACUUGUAUAUGGUUUAGUUUAGUACUUUCACUUUUGGCUAUUGCUUGCCCUCGUGCAAACCAAGUAUAUUUAUGUUUCCACUAUGCAAUUUAUAUACUUGCUCUGUACUUGUUGUUGAGCCUUGGGCGGACAGGGAGGUGCUGUCCGUUCGGCGUCUGUUCGACGUGCUUGAACCGGCCAAAUAUGACCGGUUCCGGGGCGUGACAGUGUGAAUAGUAAAUUUUCUGUAUUUGUGGCGGAUCUGACAUACUCUGGGGUCAUGGUUUUCAAAAAAAAAAUUUGGACACUUCCGCAUUAGCUUUUAAUUCCAAAGGGAUCCCGGGGCGUGACACUAAAAGUAUACUUGAAACACUUUUGGAAUCAUAAAAGGGCAUUUUUAAUAUUAGUCUUCUAAAAGGGGUAAAUAAAAAAGUCGAAAACUUUUCAGGGGUAGUGUGUGAGUCCGACUAAUAGUGCUCUCGAAAGUACUAUUCAUGAUGUAGUGCUUUUAAUUUUUUAACCCUUAAAUAAACUCUUAAACAAUUUUCUAACUCUUGGAUUAAUAUUAUUCUUCUAGGAGCACCACUAAACCCUAGGAGGACCACUAAACUCUAAGCGGGACGACUAAAAAGUCGAAAGAGCAAGCUCCUUUAUGUUUUCAGAGGCAUAGUAGCUCUAUACUAUAUAUAUGUACAUACGCGCGCGCGCACACAUAUAAACACACACACACACAUAUAUAUAUAUCUAUGUAUAUAGCCUGACUAUGGUGCUUAUAAAAGUAUUAGGCAGUUGGUACUUGUAAGUUUUUCACGGUUACAUUUAUCCUUUUGAUCAAUUCCAUCUGUUAGAUCAUACUAUCCCACCGACCACCAACUCAACCUAGGGGAUCAUUAUCAUCCAAACCGCACUUCCUUUUAUUUAAAGGCCGAAAACUUAUAAGCAUCAAUGACUUUGUGCUUUUAAAAGCAUCGGAGCUCAAUUAUAUAUAUAUAUAUAUAUAUAUGAACAUAUGUAUGUACAUGCAUAUGUACAAACAUGCAUGUAUAUAAAUAUGUAUGUACAUACAUGUAUGUACAUAUGCAUGUACAUAUAUAUGUGCGGUUGGGAUGAUAGUGGUUCUCGAUUAGGAUAAUAGUAGUCCCCUAGGGUUGAGUCGGUGGUUGGUUGAAUAUUAUGAUCUAACGGGAGGAAAUGAUCAAAGGGCUAGAUCUAACGGCCGAAAAGUUAUAAGUACAAAGGAGCCUAUACUCAUAAGUGCAUAGUAGCCGGUAUAUAUAUAUAUAUAUAUAUAGAGAGAGAGAGAGAGAGAGAGAGAGAGAGAGAGAGAGAGUUGAGCUAGAAUACUAUCGAUAGCAAACGGGCUCCGUUGCCACCCAUUUGUUUUCAAUGAUAGAGCCUCCAAAUCGACGAUCGGCACUGUUGAAUAUGAUCUAUACCACUUGAAGUGUUUAGAAAUUAAAUUUCAUACAUUUUCGUUGUUCUCUUAUCCAUUGAGUGGACACAAAAAUGAACGGCUGAAAAUGAAUAUUCUUUAAACAAUGAUGAUAGGAGUCUUGUAAUCAAGAUCAAGAGUAUAGAUCUUGUUUUAAAUAGUUUUAAAAAUUUUCUAACAAAAAUUCAAUUGAUUUGAAUAACUUUACACUGUUAAAUGAGAAAAUGCCUCAAAUCGACCAUUAAAAUUACAAAUUUUGAAACCCUUAGAUCAUUAGGCAAAUGAUGUCAAAAAGAUUUGAUAUUUGAUUUCUAAACACUUCUAGUGGUAUAGAUCAUGCUCAAUGGUGCCGAUCGUCAUUUUGGAGGCUCUAUCAUCGAAAACAAAUGGGUGACAUCGUAGCCCAUUUGCUAUCGAUAGUAUUCUAACUCAACUCUCUCUCUCUCUUUCUCUCUCUCUCUCUCUCUCUCUCUCUCUAUAUAUAUAUAUAUAUAAUGCUAUCAGUAGCAAACUGACUGCCACCCAUUUAUUUUUGAUGAUGGGGCCUCCAAAUCGAUGAUCGGUAUCGUUAAACAUGAUCUAUACCACUUGAAGUAUUUAAAAACUAAAUUUUAAAUCCUUUCGACAUCAUUAGCCACAUAAUCAAAGGGUUUGAAAUUUUAUAAUUUUAAUGGCCAAUAUAAGACGUUUUCUCAUUUAAUAGUGUAAAGAUAUCCAAAUUAAUUGUAUUUUAGUUAGAAAAUUCUUUAAACUAUUUAGAACAAGAUCUAUACUCUUGAUCUUGGUUACAAGACUCCUAUUAUCACUUUUUAAAGGAUAUUCAUUUUCAGUUAUUUAUUAUUGUGCCUAUUUGAUAGACAAGAGA